CCUCCGCAGGUGAGGCCGUGGAAACCGCAGCAAACCGGCCGAAGGCACGGCCUGGGCUGGGCUGCUCUGAAGCACGGCUCUGGGACGCCGCCGCCCGGAAGUGGGCAGCGAUUCACCCGGACGCCAUCGACUGAGCCCUCACCGCGGGCAGGGCCCAGAGCGAGGCCAAGUCAGUCGGGUCCCCGUCCUUCAGGCCGGCGUAGAUUUCUAAUGACAGCACAAGGGAUGACAAUGAAUGGAACGGAGGGAAGGCAGAGAUGAGGGAGCAUGUAGGGAAGCUUCGAGAAGGAGGGAUCCCGGACAGAGGGGCGGUGGCAGGAGUUUGCCAGACAGAAGCGGUGGGAAAGGCGCUGCGGGCGGGGGCACUGCGGGCCGGGCUUGGCAGGGAGUGACAAGGGGAGACCGGAAGGCAAGAUGCCCAGCUGUGCGGCGGGAAGGUCAAAGGGCUCUCUGCGUUGAGCCAGUGAUAGGCGUUGUAUCCAUCUAGGAGAAUUCCUGUGCUGCUUCAGAUCCUUGUGGGUGGAAAUGCCUCAUUUGUGUCUCAUGUCUUUUUCUGACUUUAAUUCUCUUGCACUGCUCACCAAGAAUCUCCGCUGUGAUACUGUGAAGACUAUAUCUAGGACCAUCAAGUCAUGAUUUUCAGGGCUGCCGAAUGGACGGUCAUCACCAUCAUCAUGAGCGUGUAAGUGUUUACUGUGUACCAGGCACGAAUCACUUCAUACAGAUGGACUCACUGAAUCCUCGUGACCACUCUGCGAGACAGGUACUGGUCAUUUCCAUUUCUCAGAUGAGGACGCUGGGGCACAGAGAUGAUGCGUAAUGUGUUCAAGAUCACAUGAAGUCCAUCCUUUCCAGCUUGAUUAUGGAGCCCUUUCUAUGAGCCUUUCUUCUAUUUCAUGGUGCUCCAUCCUCCUUCAUAUUUCCCUGUCUUUGUGCCUAUGACCUGGCAUGUUGUGAUUCCAUCAUUGUUCCAUCUUCAUUCAUCAAGACUCUGUCCCCAAACCAUUUUCUCCGUGAGAACUCAAAACUCCUCAGACAGAGUUGGCUGCUCCCACCUCUGUGAUGAUUCUAAACCUUGUACACACCUGCCCUGCUAUGGGACAGUUCCUGCUUUAUUUCACAAUGGAGCAGUUUUUUUUCAUUAACGGUUAAGGCAGAAGUGGACUUGGCUUCCUCUUGACCCCUUUUUAAAUUUCUGAAAAUUAAGUAUCCCCAGUGUCCAAGCAAGGACACAUCCCUAUUGAAUUUUAGGCGGCUAUUUGUUUAUAACUUAAUAUAUUCAUAUUUUUAGAUUAGAGAACUAGCUCUUACCCAUAUUCUCUAAGAAUGUAAUAAGAGCUACUUGCCUUUUAAAAUUAUUGAUGUGUUAGGAUUCAGGUUGGAAUCUUCUGUGGUUUUAUAAAAAUUACCCGUCAUUGAUUGAGCGCAAACAGAAGACGAGUGGGAAGGAGGUGGUCCACGCAGCUACGGCUGCCUGGACUUGGGCCAUUACCUGCU